rnacentral:rRNA from 1 species
UACGAAGGGGGCUAGCGUUGCUCGGAAUCACUGGGCGUAAAGGGUGCGUAGGCGGGUCUUUAAGUCAGGGGUGAAAUCCUGGAGCUCAACUCCAGAACUGCCUUUGAUACUGGAAGAUCUUCGAGUCGGGAGAGGUGAGUGGAACUGCGAGUGUAGAGGUGAAAUUCGUAGAUAUUCGCAAGAACACCAGUGGCGAAGGCGGCUCACUGGUCCGGUACUGACGCUGAGGUGCGAAAGCGUGGGGAGCAAACAGG